rnacentral:rRNA from 1 species
AUUGAACGCUGGCGGCAGGCCUAACACAUGCAAGUCGAACGAGUGGCGGACGGGUGAGUAAUGUCUGGGAAUCUGCCUGAUGGUGGGGGAUAACUACUGGAAACUGUAGCUAAUACCGCAUACCAUCAGAUGUGCCCAGAUGGGAUUAGCUUGUUGGUGGGGUAACGGCGCACCAAGGCGACGAUCCCUAGCUGGUAUGAGAGGAUGACCAGCCACACUGGAACGGAGACACGGGCCAGACUCCUACGGGAGGCAGAAGUGGGGAAGAUUGCACAAUGGGCGCAAGCCUGAUGCAGCCAUGCCGCGUGUAUGAAGAAGGCGUUAGGGUUGUAAAGUACUUUCAGCGGGGAGGCGUUACACGCAGAAGAAGCACCGGCUAACGCCGUGCCAGCAGCCGCGGUAAUUC